CUGCGCCCCAGAUUGAGCGGCAUGUUUGAGCUCUUUUUUCUAAAAAUUUUGAAAAGAUGGCUAAGAGGAUGAAUUUUUAGAAAAAAAGCGAGUAGCGAAAGCUGGAAUUUGG
rnacentral:misc_RNA from 1 species